UACGAAGGGGGGCUAGCGUUGCUCGGAAUCACUGGGCGUAAAGCGCACGUAGGCGGCUUUCUAAGUCAGGGGUGAAAUCCUGGAGCUCAACUCCAGAACUGCCUUUGAUACUGGGAGCUCGAGUCCGGAAGAGGUGAGUGGAACUCCGAGUGUAGAGGUGAAAUUCGUAGAUAUUCGGAAGAACACCAGUGGCGAAGGCGGCUCACUGGUCCGGUACUGACGCUGAGGUGCGAAAGCGCGGGGAGCAAACAGG
rnacentral:rRNA from 1 species